UCUCUAGUGGCCUCCACCACUCUCACUCUUGUAUUUGUAAUAAUCUCUCUAACCUUGCCAUCUCAAAUUUCAGCCAACGGCUACAUCUAUUCAUCUCCACCUCCACCGGUGCAUUCUCCUCCUCCACCAUACUACUACCAUUCACCACCACCACCGGUGCAUUCUCCUCCUCCUCCAUACAAGUAUUCAUCACCCCCACCACCACAUAAGAAACCAUACAAAUACUCAUCUCCACCACCACCAGUUUAUAAGUACAAGUCACCUCCUCCACCUGUUUAUUCACCACCUCCUCCAUACAAAUACCCAUCACCUCCCCCACCACCCUACAAGUACCCAUCUCCACCACCACCCGUUUACAAGUACAAGUCUCCUCCACCUCCAGUUUACAAGUAUAAGUCACCCCCUCCCCCUGUCCAUUCACCUCCUCCUCCCUACAAGUAUUCAUCACCACCACCUCCACCAAAGAAGUCAUAUAAGUAUUCAUCUCCUCCUCCACCAGUUUACAAAUACAAGUCUCCUCCACCACCACCAAAGAAGCAUUACAAAUACUCAUCUCCACCACCACCAAAGAAGCAUUACAAGUACUCAUCUCCACCACCACCAAAGAAGCAUUACAAGUACUCAUCUCCACCACCACCAAAGAAGCAUUACAAGUACUCAUCUCCACCACCACCAAUUUACAAAUAUAAGUCUCCUCCUCCUCCUGUCCACUCACCUCCUCCUCCAUAUAAGUACUCAUCUCCACCACCACCACCCUACAAGUAUAAGUCUCCACCACCACCACCAAAGAAGCCCUAUAAGUACUCAUCUCCCCCACCACCAGUUUACAAAUAUAAGUCUCCUCCUCCUCCUGCCCAUUCACCUCCUCCUCCAUACAAAUACUCAUCUCCACCACCACCACCAUACAAGUAUAAGUCUCCACCACCACCACCAAAGAAGCCUUACAAGUAUACAUCUCCACCACCACCAGUUUAUAAGUAUAAGUCUCCUCCUCCUCCUGUCCAUUCACCACCACCACCCUACAAGUAUUCAUCUCCUCCACCACCACCCUACAAGUAUUCAUCUCCACCACCACCACCCUACAAGUACUCAUCUCCUCCACCACCACCCUACAAGUACUCAUCUCCACCACCACCACCCUACAAGUACUCAUCUCCUCCACCACCACCCUACAAGUACUCAUCUCCACCACCACCACCCUACAAGUACUCAUCUCCUCCACCACCACCUUACAAGUACUCAUCUCCACCACCACCUCCCUACAAGUAUUCAUCUCCACCACCACCACCCUACAAGUACUCAUCUCCUCCACCACCACCCUACAAGUACUCAUCUCCUCCACCACCACCAAAGAAGCCUUACAAGUACUCAUCACCACCGCCACCAGUUUACAAGUAUAAGUCUCCUCCUCCACCUGUUCACUCACCACCACCACCACAUUACGUCUAUGCAUCACCUCCUCCACCUGUCCAUUCCCCACCUCCACCACAUUACAUCUAUGCCUCACCUCCUCCCCCUCACUACUAGACAGUUUAGCUGAGCAACCAUGUUGGUAAGAUUCUUCAUACAAUCUACGUUAUUAAAAAAAAUAUACGUUAUCGAAACAGUAAUGAGAUUUGAUACAUAGUUACAUGCUAAAAUAAACUUAGACUCUGUCUAAUACUUAUCCUUAGUCUUUAUAUAGAAAUAUAAUCAUCGAAAUUUCACAGAUAUCUCUCAAAGUACGUAGUUUAGGCUGAGAAAACCUACAGUAACUUUUUUCAUUCACGCUUCUGAAAUUAUUUUCAUACUGAGAUUUUUAAAUUUUAGAACGUUUUUUAUAUUUGAUGGACUCAUAUUGACACAAUUUUAUUAUAGUAAUUACAAAUUUGUAAUACAUUUUCAGUUUUCUGUUCCUUUGCAAUAAAAUUUGAGAAGAACAUAUAUAUUCACUCACUGUAUGAGUUUUUGUUUAAUUUUAAUAAAAUAAUUUUAUUUUUACAAUGAAGUUGUAACAAUUUUUAGUUGUCCAUUUGUUUUAGGAUGAAUUGCAACUUUAAGAUGCGUGCAUGGAUAAAAAAAGGAAAGAUAAAAAUAUCUUAAAUUGUUAUAAGAGAAAUUGUGGAAAUUGAGAUAUACAAGUAAACUAUGGUUUAAGAAAUGUAGCAUAAGAUUUUUUUUACUAUAGGGGAGAGUAUUCAUUUCAAAAGUAAAUUUAAAAAUCUUCCUCCAGAUCUUAACCAUUCAUUUUAGGAAAAUUUAAUGGUUCAAAUUUAGUUGUUAAUUUAAAUCAUUGGAUUUUCUUAGAAUGAAUGAGUAAGAUAUGAAUCAUAAUGAAAAUAAACAUUUUCAAUAUAACUUAAUUAGUAUUAUUGAAAAUGAAAUAAAAAUAUAUAAAAAUCAGAGGCACUUUAAUUUGUGAAUCCCAACGGAUGAUGAUUGAUUUGCGUGUUACAUUAAUCCUUUCCUAAUCCAAUUAGUUUUGCAAUACAAGCUUUACCCCUUAUAUAUAUUUCUUUUAACCGUAAAUCGUAAGAUACUAACUAGCUAAGAAGAGAUUCAAAUUGUUUUAUGCAUGUUUCCAAAAAUAUGUUAGCCUCACGUUUUCAAGGGUUUAAUUAUAUAUAUAUGUGUGUCCUAAUAAUAGCACUUAAAGUGCAUUAAUAUUUAUUAUCUGAUUUAUUGAUAUGUUGAGGAACUAACUAAUAAUGGAGUGAUUAAGUAGUACUAAACUUAUGUGUUUGUAUUUUUGUAGU
rnacentral:lncRNA from 1 species